GCCAUACCAUGCUCAAUAUACCGGUUCUCGUUAGGUAACCGAAGUCAAGCAUCAUCGCGCGCGGUCAGUACUUGGGUGGGUGACCACCUGGGAACACCGCGUGCC
rnacentral:rRNA from 1 species